GACGAACGCUGGCGGCGUGCUUAACACAUGCAAGUCGAACGGAAAGGCCCUGCUUUUGUGGGGUGCUCGAGUGGCGAACGGGUGAGUAACACGUGAGUAACCUGCCCUUGACUUUGGGAUAACUUCAGGAAACUGGGGCUAAUACCGGAGAGGAGCUCCUGCUGCAUGGGGGGGGUUGGAAAGUGUCGGCGGUUGGGGAAGGACUCGCGGCUUAUCAGCUUGUUGGUGGGGUAGUGGCUUCCCACGGCUUCGACGGGUAGCCGGCCUGAGAGGGUGACCGGCCACAUUGGGACUGAGGUACGGCCCAGACUCCUACGGGCGGCAGCAGUGGGGAAUAUUGCACAGUGGGCGGAAGCCUGAUGCAGCAACGCCGCGUGCGGGAUGACGGCCUUCGGGUUGUAAACCGCUUUCGCCUGUGACGAAGCGUGAGUGACGGUAAUGGGUAAAGAAGCACCGGCUAACUACGUG
rnacentral:rRNA from 1 species